GCAUGAGGGCCCGCUGACACCUUGGCCCACCGGGAGUUUUCCUGGUAUCCCUGUGGGCCAGUCCGACACUGGUUAUACAGUGCACUAAAUUCUGAAACUCAAUGUUCUUUUAACCAGAUCACAGUGAAGAUUUACCCCUUGUAGAUAACACGUAUUUAACUUAUGUCUGUGAAAUAGUGCACUUUGGUAUAAAAGACAAUGGUGCUUAACAGCAAAUAUUUGCAAAUGAAAGUCCAAUUAGGGGAUAAGGUAAUAUACAAUCUGAAAAAGAUAGACGCCAAUACCUUCUGAUCAAACGUUUUGGGACCGCAUGGUCACUGAGGAAGGGCCAUGCGGUCCCGAAACAUUUGAUCACUGUGAAGUGUCAUGAGCACCAUGGAAUAAAGAUUGGGAACCCCCCAUUUGCAGCAGACAUGGUAUUGGCGUCUAUCUUUUUCAAAUUCUAACAGCAAAUAUUGGCACUACAGUACCUCCACAGCUAGGGACCAGCGCCGGAGGCAGCCGUGUGCAAAGUAAGACACGCGUGCGUAAACAAGGAUGCUCGUGACCAUCCGUGCGCAACAGAAGGAUGCACGUGCGCCUCCUUUUUCAGUGGUGGACUAGGAGUAGGAUGCUUAUGAGAAAAAUGACAACUCAAAUGAAAGACAAAGAAGCUUUUCAGAGACAACAAAUUCUAUACCAGGCUGCACAUUGUGUUUUGGCUCAAAACCCAGAUAACGUAGAGCUGGCUAGAUUUUACUGCCAUAAUGACAGAAUGAUUAGCAAACGAUUGGUGUUGAGACAAAAAAUGACAACUCAAAUAAAAGACAAAGAAGCUUUUCAGAGACAACAAAUUCUAUACCAGAAAAAUGACAACUCAAAUGAAAGACAAAGAAGCUUUUCAGAGACAACAAAUUCUAUACCAGAACUUCGUGGGCAACGGAAAACUGUUGUGAGAUGCCUAACUUGUGGGCUUACUAAACGUUUCCUCAAUUACCCAAAUUACUAGCUGUGGUGUGAGCAGCCAGAGGCUCUACUGGAAAACCAGCCCACAACAGAUCAAGACAAAAUUAUUAUACAUACAAAGCAUCUUUUAAAUGGAAAGGUGUCUUUGGGCUACAUCUGCAGAUGCAAAGAAGCAAGCUUCGUAGUUUCACAGUCUUUUGUUUUGUACACAUGGACAUAGAAACCAAUCCUCUAAGAAAAAAAAUAGGAGCCUGGAGAAGUGAACUAAUACAGUUGUGUUCAUGCAUGGCAGGGCAUCCAAGCUAAUUUUUUGCAGUGGAUCCAACACAAGACAACAUGGUUGUGUAUAAAUACCAACACAAAAUGCUAUGGAUAAUUGAUUGCUUUUCUUUUUUUUCUGGUGGGGCAAAACUGUUGUUUAUUUGGAUAAAUUCAAGGAUUUUUCUGUAUUUAGCCCUGGAUUUUGAAAUAAAAAAACAACCUUAAAGUGUAUUUAUCUUUUUUUUGAUGUGUCAAAUUCAUAAUAUUUGGUUUUGGUGGAUAUUUAUCAUUUAUUUUUCAGCUCCAACUCUAGACUAUUAGCACAUUUGCUAUGUGGCCAGUGGGGCCUGCCAAUUAAGUAGUGUGAGGCUCCCAAAGGAAAAAAAAGCCUAGCAAACUUGCAUCCCUGGCCAUGCUACAAUCUGACCCUCUGAUUUUCCAUUACAAUCCCUGCCCUGCUUGCAUCCCACAAAUGAGAUCUUUGUGUCUCUUGAGCUCUCCCUUUGUCAGAGAGCCCCUGGCUAGGGCCCUCCUUUUGUCACAGAUCCUCUGUCUCAACUACCCUCCCAUCCUGAUUGAACACUUAAAACUUA